UACGGAGGGUGCGAGCGUUAUCCGGAAUUACUGGGUUUAAAGGGCGCGUAGGCGGCCUUCUAAGUCGAACGUGAAAUCCCCGGGCUCAACCCGGGAACUGCGUCCGAUACUGGAAGGCUAGAAUCCGGGAGAGGGAUGUGGAAUUCCAGGUGUAGCGGUGGAAUGCGUAGAUAUCUGGAGGAACACCGGUGGCGAAGGCGGCAUCCUGGACCGGUAUUGACGCUGAGGCGCGAAAGCCAGGGGAGCAAACGGG
rnacentral:rRNA from 1 species